UCAUAAAUUUUGCUGUCCUUGCAAUACAUCCAUGUUUUUGUGUGGCUAAAUGUCAAUAGGGAUUUCAAAGCUGGAGAAAAAACGUGUUUAUAUAUUUCCGGUGGUCUUAACACAGACGUGGUUAAAACAGCCUGCUGCAGUAGAUAGCUAACUCACCGGUAACAGGGUCCAUCGGGAUGACAAGACCAGUAUUGAGCCUGAAGCCACAGAAAAGAGACCAGAAGCUGGGCCAGGUGUGUGAAGCAGGGAUUUUUUGACACAUGGACUGUCAGUUAACACAAACACAAUGAAUACUAAUGAAUGACCAGGCUGGACAACUUCAGCACUCUCACAGGAGCCAAUGCAGUUCCAGGUCUGUGGGGCUCAGCCUGCACUUGAGAAGAACUCCUUGCCAACUGAGCCACUCAGGAGCCACCACAAGGGGAAGGUCCCGGCAGACCCGGAAGUAGAUGUGCUCACCAUGCUGAAAGGCAGUCAGGUUCCUCUCACUCUCCUCUGCUGAGGUCCGUACAUACCUGGAUCACACAGUGCAUGACUUGCACACCCACAUUCUGUACAUCCACAACCUGCUUUUGUACAUUUAUCUUUUAUACAUAUUUUUCUUGUGUAAAAGUGUCUGCACUGUACAUGUAUUUUAUGGGUUAUGAGGUUAAUCACAUAGUUAUUCCUAAGAUUGUAUUUCAGACUAUCCAGUGUUCACUGACAAACACCUCAAUACUACAGUAUGAAUCUCACUGUUGCACUAAUGGGUGCUGGUCAGAGCAUCAGAAAAGCACUCAGAAUUGUAAACACAAAAAUUAUAGCACUGAAGUCUGUUAACAUGAGACUACAUAGCAAAGAGGCCAGUUUCACAAUAUUAAA